UAAUAAGCUAUUAAGGGCUAAUGGUGGAUGCCUAGACUGUAAGAGGCGAUGAAAGACGUAUUAGGCUGCGAUAAGCCUCGGGGAGCUGCCAAAGAGCUUUGAUCCGGGGAUUUCUGAAUGGGGCAACCCAAUAUAAUGAGAAUUAUAUUACCCUACGGGGAGCGAACCUAGUGAAGUGAAACAUCUCAGUAGCUAGAGGAAGAGAAAUCAAACGAGAUUCCCAAAGUAGCGGCGAGCGAAAUGGGAUUAGGACAAACCCAAUGCUUGCAUUGGGGGUUGUAGGACCAUGAUAUGAGACUAAAGAGGAUAGAUGAAAUACUUGGAAAAGUGUAGCAUAGAAGGUGAAACUCCUGUAAUUAAAAUUCUCAAUAGCUCUAAUGGUAUCCUGAGUAGGUCGGAACACGUGAUAUUUUGACUGAAGCCGGGGGGACCACCCUCCAAUCCUAAAUACUACUUACAGAUCGAUAGUGAACAAGUACCGUGAGGGAAAGGUGAAAAGUACUCCAGCGAGGAGAG
rnacentral:rRNA from 1 species